GUGAUGAGUCGCCUCACCGCGGCGCCGCAAAGCGACGAGGAAAGUCCGGGCAACGCAGAGCACCCUGCUUCCUAACGGGAAGGACUGAGAAGCGUAAAGUAACUCAGGACAGCCAGUGCCACAGAAAAUUACCGCCAAGCGGUGAAGUUGUGAAAAGUGAAAUUGUGAACCGUAAGGCUUUCACAACUUCACAAACUCUCAAUUUCACAUUUGGUAAGGGUGAAAAGGUGCGGUAAGAGCGCACCAGCGGCUGGGCAACCAUGCCGGCUGGGUAAACCUCAGGGGUUGAAAGACCAAAUAAGCUGGCACGCGGGUCCCUCGGGGCCGGCACCGGGCGGCUCGUCCGGCGUCAGCGGGUAGGUUGAUGGAGCCUUUCCGCGAGGACUGGCCUAGAUAAAUGGUGAGGCCGCUUCUGCUUGCAGGGGCGGACAAAACCCGGCUUACAGACUCAUCACUCAG
rnacentral:RNase_P_RNA from 2 species